GGUGAACGUUGGCGGUGCGCCUAAUACAUGCAAGUCGAGCGAGAAAGUCCAAACCCGCAAGGGGGAGGGCGAGCACAGCGGCGAACUGGUGAGUAACACGCGAUCAACCUACCUCUCCGACAGGGACAACCUUUGGAAACAAAGGCUAAUACCUGAUGGCGUUGCUUGCCCACAAGGGCGAGCAAAUAAAGGGGCGCUUGCUCCGCGGGGAGAUGGGGUUGCGGCCCAUCAGCUAGUUGGUAGGGUAACGGCCUACCAAGGCGAUGACGCGUAGCCGACCUGAGAGGGUGAUCGGCCACACUGGGACUGAGACACGGCCCAGACUCCUACGGGAGGCAGCAGUAGGGAAUCUUCCACAAUGGACGAAAGUCUGAUGGAGCAACGCCGCGUGAGCGAUGAAGGCCUUCGGGUCGUAAAGCUCUGUUGUUAGGGAAGAACAAGUACCGGAGUAACUGCCGGUACCUUGACGGUACCUAACCAGAAAGCCACGGCUAACUACGUGCCAGCCGCCGCCGUAACAC
rnacentral:rRNA from 1 species